rnacentral:tRNA from 1 species
GCUGCUGUGGUGCAACGGAAGCCAUGCCUCGUCCUCGGCGAGGGGAUCCCGGUUCGAAUCCGGGCGGCAGCA